UACACUCCUGCGGGAGGCAGCAGUGGGGAAUAUUGCACAAUGGGCGCAAGCCUGAUGCAGCCAUGCCGCGUGUAUGAAGAAGGCCUUCGGGUUGUAAAGUACUUUCAGCGGGGAGGAAGGCGAUAAGGUUAAUAACCUUGUUGAUUGACGUUACCCGCAGAAGAAGCACCGGCUAACUCCGUGCCAGCAGCCGCGGUAAUACGGAGGGUGCAAGCGUUAAUCGGAAUUACUGGGCGUAAAGCGCACGCAGGCGGUCUGUCAAGUCGGAUGUGAAAUCCCCGGGCUCAACCUGGGAACUGCAUUCGAAACUGGCAGGCUAGAGGCUUGUAGAGGGGGGUAGAAUUCCAGGUGUAGCGGUGAAAUGCGUAGAGAUCUGGAGGAAUACCGGUGGCGAAGGCGGCCCCCUGGACAAAGACUGACGCUCAGGUGCGAAAGCGUGGGGAGCAAACAGGAUUAGAAACCCUAGUAGUCCC
rnacentral:rRNA from 1 species